UGAGGCACAAUACUGGAUCUUCAAUGAGUUACUUUCUAUUUUUCACUCGGCAACCGGCUGCAGAUUUCACUCGGCCAACUUCGGUUACUCCUCCACACCAAACCAUGUUUCCAAACAGAAUUAUCUUUCCGUGACCCGCAAAUUAUAUUUUUAACUGGUUUGCCUUUGGCGCAAUAUUCUGAUGUUUAGGCUAACACUGUUUUUAACGGCGUCAGCUUCUUAUAUUUAUUGGGCUACAAACACUAAACAGUUGUCUUUUAUUUUCUGAGGAGAUUUUCUGACCUGGGUAAUGUAAAUGAAGUUUGUUACUUUAUAGUAGGCUAGUAUUUGACUAAAACUGCAUAAAUCAAAUCUUAAUCAUAGAUGUACCGAUUGUAAAUAAUUUUUUUUGCUGACGAAGUCUUUUCUAACUUUUGGGGUAAGACUACUAACUAAGUAGCCUACAUUGAAAUUAGUGCUAGUACAGUAGAAGUGGUCUUGGCGUCGGGUAAUCGAUAUGAAAACAAGUCUACAUUAUAAUUAGGCCUAGAUAUCUACCUAGUCCGACUUCAUUUCAAGCAUUUUAUUUAUACCCCUUAAGUUGUAGUAGUGACAGUUUAACUACAAGUAAGUACAACAGCAACCAACAGGGGGUCACAGUAUCGUGACUCAUGGACUUGUCAGGAGUAUAACUUGAGCCUGAGAAUGAUCAAUGAGAUACACACAAAUGGAUAAGUCUGAUAAUCAGUUAAUAAAUCAGAUGUAACUUGUAAAUAAAGGCACUGUAUGACAGUGUAUGUAGGCCUACAUAUGAUAUAUAUUCUAAAUACUAAUAAAUAGGCCUAGUAGUAUUGUUUUAUUAAUAUUACCUAUUUAUUAAUUAAUAGGGUUUCAGGUCAAACUCAAAGUUUCAAAUGAUCAAAACGCUCUAUAUACCAGUCAAUGCGUGGGAUGGCACCAAAAUAAGUGCUUUUCUGUCAUAUUUGAGUGACGUCAUGAGUCAUAAGCGGUAUUUUCCCUUCAGAAUCGCUAUACUGGCUAGGCUCUAUAUAGUACCAAUUUUAAAACUGAAUGAAAUCCGCACGUUAUUGUCAGCUAAGAUUUAUUAAAAUCAUAAUUAUAUAUUAUAGAUCUAAUUUCAAAUAUUAUACUUAACUAAUAGAAUCAAUUAAGCUUUUACUAUCUAAUAUGGUCGAAGCUCAGGUCCUAAAAACGCCUUUAAUUUAUGGUUUCUGUUAUUCUUAAAUAGAUAUUGUUAGGGACCUCAUGCUGGAGGUUCGGUCGCAUGAUCAUUUAAUGUUCGAAUUCUAUACAAAAUUGUAAAGUCUGAAGUUAGUAUCAAUGUAAUUUGCUAAUCUGGUCAACAAAGGUCCAUUUACAUUGAUUUUGAUGGAAAAUUAGAUCUGAAUUACAUAUUACAUAUUUAAAGUUUAUAUUUCUUGAUUAUAAAGGUAGAAUUUGAAAUUAUUUUCUCAGUGUUUUAAAUGGGUUGGUUUUUUUUUUUGAUGGCUUUGACCAUUAAAUUGAAAAAAAUCAAUGAAAUGGACCUUUGUUGUGGUGUGGAUAGGCUUGGGUGUAGGGGUGCCGGGAGCCCAAGUAGUGUCGUUAAAAAAGUAUUAACAUUAGUGUUACUUUACUCUUAUUUUAUGAAAGUUUUUUUCGCAAGUUGAUUUCCUUUAUUUUUUUAAUGUAGAAUGGUAAUGAACUGCUUUUUUCCUUUUCUUUGCUUUAUUUGUUCCGUUUGAAUUUGAUUUAUCUGUUUAGUUUUUGAUUGUUUAAUUAUUGUUUUUGUUAAUUAAGUUGAUUCUUUUAAACUUUGUUUUUAUUUUUAUACGUCCGUCGUCCACAAUUUCUUGUGAACGCUCUAGAGACUAAAGUUAAUAUCUGAUAUUUACUGCCAGAGUUAUAGCCCUUGAUCACUUUGAUAAAUCUUGUGAACGCUCUAGAGGCUAAAGUUAAUAUCCAAUGGACUCCAAAUUGUUACACAGUGUGUAAGGUCAUGAGACGAAGAAGCCUAAUGAUUUUCAGCGAUAUCCGAUAAUUACUACCAGAGUUAUGGCCCUUGAUCACUUUGAAAAAUCUUGUGAACACUCUAGAGGCUAAAGUUAAAAUCCAAUUGACUUUAAAUUUAUACACAGUGUUUAAGGUCAUGAGACAAGACGCCUAUUGAUUUUCAGCGAGAUCUGAUGAUUACUGCAAGAGUUAUGGCAUUGAUAUGUGAGAGACAUCAGUUUAAAGUCGAUUCUGGUUAUUAUAAUCUAAUGUAUGAACUUUGUGUUGAUUUUACCAGCCUGUAAUUGUGGUAUCAUAAUUAAUUGUGAUUUUAACAUUUUUUUUAGUUAACUAUAUUAAAUGAAUUCCAAAUGUACGUGUUGGCGAGGGGGUACAUUAAUAAUUAUAUGUUUUUGUAGUACAUGUUCCUUGUUUUAUAAUAAAACUACGCCCUUUCAUUUUUCAGAAGAAAAGUAUAGAAAAUAUUUCCAAUUAUCUAUCUUGAGAUCACAGAGAUUGAAUGCUGCAGGUCUUGUGUUUAGUGUAUAGACUAAUUGGUGGAUGUUAUUAACAUUAACCUUUUAGCAAAGGUUAGCUUGAUGAUGUUACUGCAGUGUAGUGGAAGAUGUUAACCUAACUUUGGUAGACAACAAGCCUAACCCUGAAGUCAACGAUGUACAAUAUGUCAGUGUCACGGUUCCACUACCAAACGUAACGCGAAUAUAAACAAUACUUACGGGUACAUGUAUUUACUUUGAUUGAAAUGAGGUCAACUUAAAAAUUUGUGUAGAUGUGUUAUUUGUUGUAACAGUUAUAUCCAUAAAAUGUAAAUUGUAUUUUCUCUAUAUUAGUAUAACAGAUUAAACGAAAUAAGAUUA